CACGAACGCUGGCGGCAGGCUUAACACAUGCAAGUCGAGCGCCCCGCAAGGGGAGCGGCAGACGGGUGAGUAACGCGUGGGAAUCUACCCAUCUCUACGGAAUAACGCAUGGAAACGUGUGCUAAUACCGUAUACGUCCUUCGGGAGAAAGAUUUAUCGGAGAUGGAUGAGCCCGCGUUGGAUUAGCUAGUUGGUGGGGUAAAGGCCUACCAAGGCGACGAUCCAUAGCUGGUCUGAGAGGAUGAUCAGCCACACUGGGACUGAGACACGGCCCAGACUCCUACGGGAGGCAGCAGUGGGGAAUAUUGGACAAUGGGCGCAAGCCUGAUCCAGCCAUGCCGCGUGAGUGAUGAAGGCCCUAGGGUUGUAAAGCUCUUCCACCGGUGAAGAUAAUGACGGUAACCGAAGAAGAAGCCCCGGCUAACUUCGUGCCAGCCGCCGCCGUAAUAC
rnacentral:rRNA from 1 species